rnacentral:tRNA from 1 species
GGGGUUGUGGCUCAGCAGUAGAGCGCUUGUCUAUCACAUGGGAGGCCCUGGGUUCGAUCCUCAGCACCACA